AAAUGACAUGCACAGUUGACAUGGCAACAAAGCAGCACUGCACGCAAGGGUGGCAGCCGCAGCAAUCAAUUCUCCUGAGCUCAGCACAAGUUUGCUCUAAAGGCCAGAGUAGCCAGGAAACAAAGAACAUAUAAGUCAUUAAGGAAACCCGAGGAAGCUGGAAAAGAGGCGAUAUGAAAAAGGGGCCUUUAUAUGGGAAAAACAGCCGUAUUUGUUAUCGAAGAUCAGCAAACUCUACCCUGCCUUAAAAAGAUCCAAACAGUAACUCAAUGACGGGGGAGUGCUCCAGCAUUUAGACAAGAGAUGCGGAACGGAAGGCAUUCAAGAGCAUUUAAUUAAGAUUAGUUGCAUUUGAAGCAUGUACACAUGCAGGCAGGCAGAGAGACCCCAACACAGGCAAAGAGAGAAUCAUUCUGAGUAUUUGCAAAGACCCUGUCUGCUUUUCAGCUC